GGAUGAGAGGGUGAUCUGGCUGUGACAUCUGCCACCCCACUGAUUGCCAGGGUUGAUAUGGCUGAUCUGGCUGGCUAGGCGGAUGUCCCCUUCCUCCCUCAGCACUCCAUGUGCAUCACUCUGAAGGGUGCGGUAGAAGAGGAUGACCACCCCCGAUAGAGGAGGACCAUUACCUCAGUCAAGGGUUUACGAGCAGCUGUGCUUCCCUGCUAGAACCGCCAAAAAGUUCUCAAGAUAUUCCUUAUUCCUGGAUAGGCAGACCCAAUCUAGUGAAAAUGGCCAUACUCCCAAGACUAUUAUACAGAUUU
ensembl:misc_RNA 7SK 7SK RNA